AAAGGAGCAAUCCGCUAUGAGAUGGGCCCGCGGCGCAUUAGCUAGUUGGUGAGGUAACGGCUCACCAAGGCGACGGUGCGUAGCCGACCUGAGAGGGUGAUCGGCCACAUUGGGACUGAGACACGGCCCAGACUCCUACGGGAGGCAGCAGUGGGGAAUAUUGCACAAUGGGGGAAACCCUGAUGCAGCAACGCCGCGUGAGUGAUGACGGCCUUCGGGUUGUAAAGCUCUGUCUUCAGGGACGAUAAUGACGGUACCUGAGGAGGAAGCCACGGCUAACUACGUGCCAGCAGCCGCGGUAAUACGUAGGUGGCGAGCGUUGUCCGGAUUUACUGGGCGUAAAGGGAGCGUAGGCGGAUUUUUAAGUGAGAUGUGAAAUACUCGGGCUUAACCUGAGUGCUGCAUUUCAAACUGGAAGUCUAGAG
rnacentral:rRNA from 1 species